GACGAACGCUGGCGGCGUGCUUAACACAUGCCAGUCGAACGGUGAAGCGCCUUCCUUUUUGGUGGGUGUGGAUGAGUGGCGAACGGGUGAGUAACACGUGAGUAACCUGCCCCCUUCUUCUGGAUAACCGCAUGAAAGUGUUGCUAAUACGGGAUAUUCUGGGUCUGUCGCAUGAUGGGUCUGGGAAAGAUAUUGUUUCGGUGUGGGAUGGUCUCGCGGCCUAUCAGCUUGUUGGUGGGGUGAUGGCCUACCAAGGCGGUGACGGGUAGCCGGCCUGAGAGGGUGGACGGUCACACUGGGACUGAGACACGGCCCAGACUCCUACGGGAGGCAGCAGUGGGGAAUAUUGCACAAUGGGCGCAAGCCUGAUGCAGCGACGCCGCGUGAGGGAGGGAGGCCUUCGGGUUGUGAACCUCUUUCGACAGUGAAGCAGGCCUGCCUCGUUUGUGGGUGGGUUGACGGUAGCUGGAUAAGAAGCGCCGGCUAACUACGUG
rnacentral:rRNA from 1 species